GACGAACCACACAAACGUUAUUCGGAAUCACUGGGCUUAAAGGGUGCGUAGGCGGCGCGGAAAGUAGGGUGUGAAAUCCCUCGGCUCAACCGAGGAAUAGCGCCCUAAACUACCGUGCUCGAGGGAGAUAGAGGUGAGCGGAACUUAGGGUGGAGCGGUGAAAUGCGUUGAUAUCCUAAGGAACACCGGUGGCGAAAGCGGCUCACUGGAUCUCUUCUGACGCUGAGGCACGAAAGCUAGGGUAGCGAACGG
rnacentral:rRNA from 1 species